rnacentral:rRNA from 1 species
AGUAACCGAGGCUAAAGGUGGCCUCUACUUGUAAGCUAUCGCUUGGAGACGGGCUUAUGCACCAUCAGCUAGUUGGCGAGGUAACGGCUCACCAAGGCUUUGACGGUUAGCUGAUCUGAGAGGUUGAUCAGCCACACUGGAACUGAGACACGGUCCAGACUCCUACGGGAGGCAGCAGUAGGGAAUAUUGCGCAAUGGAGGAAACUCUGACGCAGCGACGCCGCGUGGGUGAAGAAGGCCUUCGGGUUGUAAAGCUCUUUUAGUGAGGAAGAUAAUGACGGUACUCACAGAAGAAGUCCUGGCUAACUCCGUGCCAGCAGCCGCGGUAAUACGGAGAGGGCUAGCGUUAUUCGGAAUCAUUGGGCGUAAAGGGCGCGUAGGCGGGUUAGUAAGUUAAAAGUGAAAUCCCAAGGCUCAACCUUGGAACUGCUUUUAAAACUGCUAGUCUAGAGAUUGAAAGAGGAUAGAGGAAUUCCUAGUGUAGAGAUGAAAUUCGUAAAUAUUAGGAGGAACACCAGUGGCGAANGCGUCUAUCUGGUUCAAAUCUGACGCUGANGCGCGAAGGCGUGGGGAGCAAACAGGAUUAGAUACCCUGGUAGUCCACGCUGUAAACGAUGAAUGUUAAAUAUGGGAAGUUNACUUUCUGU